AACGAACGCUGGCGGCAUGCCUAACACAUGCAAGUCGAACGAGACCUUCGGGUCUAGUGGCGCACGGGUGCGUAACGCGUGGGAACCUGCCCUUAGGUUCGGAAUAACUCCCCGAAAGGGGUGCUAAUACCGGAUAAUGUCUUCGGACCAAAGAUUUAUCGCCUUUGGAUGGGCCCGCGUUGGAUUAGCUAGUUGGUAGGGUAAAAGCCUACCAAGGCGACGAUCCAUAGCUGGUCUGAGAGGAUGAUCAGCCACACUGGGACUGAGACGCGGUCCGGACUCCUACGGGAGGCAGCAGUGGGUAAUAUUGGACAAUCGGCGAAAGCCUGAUCCAGCAAUGCCGCGUGAGUGAUGAAGGCCUUAGGGUUGUACAGCUCUUUUACCCGGGAUGAUAAUGACAGUACCGGGAGAAUAAGCUCCGGCUAACUCCGUG
rnacentral:rRNA from 1 species